AGCAGUGGGGAAUAUUGGACAAUGGGCGAAAGCCUGAUCCAGCCAUGCCGCGUGUGUGAAGAAGGUCUUCGGAUUGUAAAGCACUUUAAGUUGGGAGGAAGGGCCAUUACCUAAUACGUGAUGGUUUUGACGUUACCGACAGAAUAAGCACCGGCUAACUCUGUGCCAGCAGCCGCGGUAAUACAGAGGGUGCAAGCGUUAAUCGGAAUUACUGGGCGUAAAGCGCGCGUAGGUGGUUUGUUAAGUUGGGAUGUGAAAUCCCCGGGCUCAACCUGGGAACUGCAUUCAAAACUGACUGACUAGAGUAUGGUAGAGGGUGGUGGAAUUUCCUGUGUAGCGGUGAAAUGCGUAGAUAUAGGAAGGAACACCAGUGGCGAAGGCGACCACCUGGACUGAUACUGACACUGAG
rnacentral:rRNA from 1 species